UACGAAGGGGGCUAGCGUUGUUCGGAUUUACUGGGCGUAAAGCGCACGUAGGCGGAUCGUUAAGUCGGGGGUGAAAUCCUGGAGCUCAACUCCAGAACUGCCUUCGAUACUGGCGAUCUAGAGUCCGGAAGAGGUGAGUGGAACUCCUAGUGUAGAGGUGGAAUUCGUAGAUAUUAGGAAGAACACCAGUGGCGAAGGCGGCUCACUGGACUGGUAUUGACGCUGAGGUGCGAAAGCGUGGGGAGCAAACAGG
rnacentral:rRNA from 1 species